CUCCAGCCCCUGUGAGGAGUUUCUGAGCCUCAGUUUCCCUGUCUGCAAACUUGCUACGGUGCAAGCAGUUCAUGAAUGACUGCGUAAAUCGUUCACAGGCACAGCAGACGCCCGAGCCUCGGCAUUGGUCUCGAGGUUCUCCACCUCGCCGGUGAAGGAACCACAGUGCAUGGGUCAGGAUGUGGUGGGCGCACUGUGUGGACACAGCGGGGAGGCACUGGGCAGAUGAGAGGGUGGAGGGAAGAAGAGAGAGAAAACCCCAAAGGUCCGGAAGACCAAGAGGGAGGCGGGGCACCAGCUGGAAACCGCGGCUAUUUGCAGCAUCGCCCUCGGUUUGCGGUCAGGCUGAGGCUGGAAGGCCGGACGACCGGGAUCGCAGCCCCGCCCGGUGCCCUCGGCCACCCGGGCGGGCGAGGCCCUAGCCGGCGAGUCCCCUUCGCUGCAAUGUUGAGGCGGGUGGACUGGGACGCCGAAGCCAGAUGGAUGACAAGGCCACCGGAGGACAGACCGCUCUGUCCUCGUAGGGGCUUCUCUGGGCUUCCUCUUGCCCCCACCCUUCUCCUAUUUCCAACCCAGUGGAAUGCCAGGAACCUCCUAUUCCUGCCGACACCCUCUCCUCAACUCCAGGCUGCUGGGGGGGCGGGGGGCAGGCAGGGGCCAGGAAGACCAGUUUUUCCAGCCAGCUCUCAGACAGUGGAGAGACCUGCCCGCCCCCAGGGGCUCUUCGGAGCCUCGUCGAAAGGCAACCCAGGCCUCCUUGGAAUGUGGCUGAUCAGGCUCCUACAGACACCAACUGACUUGAGGGAGGUUGCAGGUAGCCGAAGAGCAGAGUUUCAGCUUGAGCCUUCACACCAGAUGGAUUUGAAUCUUAAGCGACACCAAAGGACCUUCGCAGCUUUAGGAGGAGUCCCAGCACCGCCCCUGGAAUUUCGCCCUGCUGUCUCUGUGCACUGCAGGUUGGCUUAGCACAAAAGCCACCUGACUCCACCCACCGCUCUUGGCACGUGCGGGAGUCCCAGUCCCUAACCUAGUCCUGGCCCGCCGCCACGUCCCGAGGGGAGCGACCUCUAAUCCCCGGGGCUCCUCGGAAAACCAUUAGGCAGCGGGACCGCGCCCCGCGGGUCCCACCCGGCCAUUUGGGAGCCCGCUCCCGCCGCCCCCACUUCUGUCCCUCUCCAUCGUCGCCGGAUAUCUACCGCAGCGACUGUCUGCUCGAACCCGGGACCGCAAGGCUGGCCUCUAGCCUGCCGUGCCUGUCCGGCGAGGCCAGGAGCGUUGGGUCCACGCCUUGGCUCUCUGUCACUGGCUGCCCUUGCCCUGCCAGUUUUGUGCUAGACUCUUUAUUCGCCCCCAACCCCAACCCGCGUGGCCGGCCUGGAGGAAGUGUCCAGAAGCCCAGUCUUUGAUCACAUUGGCACGACCCAACUCCCAGAGGUUGUUAGAUAACCCUUGACCUUGACUCUCUGAGGAUGUUUACCCAACUGUAAAUUGGUGAAUUAGGGUGUUGACUGAAGUUGGCUUAGGAAGUGUGGGGAUCUUACUGUGUAGUCAAAUUCAGGAACCCAGAUCUCCACAUCAGGUCCUCCAGAAUACUUAGGACCAUCUGUAGCCUUUGUCCACAUAAUUCCUGGGAAGGAGAGACAGCCACCAGUGACUUCCCUGCUUCGAAGGUUCCAGAGGACAGGCACAAGGGUAUCUGCCUCUGCCGGGGGGCGGGGAGGAAAGCCCCCAGAGUGGGCAUUAGACUUGUGGAGUGAGUGGGGAGAUCCCCCCACCCAGAACUCUCCAUUGAGAGGACUCAAGGCUUGAGGAUCUGAGAGGAUCUGCCUCCUCUUCCUUUAAUCAGCAGCUUGGGUGGGGGCUCCCCCCAAGCCCCAAGCCCGUGUGAAGCGAGAAGGGACAGCACCUCCUUCAUGGUGCCAAUGGUCUCACUCUAGGGGCGGAUGUGAUCUGCCUGGAGCAGAUUAAGUCUUGACAGUUGCUGAGCAGGCUGAAUUUUUGGAGCGAACACGGUGAAGUAGAUCAUCUUCUAAUCAAGACGGAUGACAGAUGCAGCAGAAAUAUCUAUCGCAUGAAGCAAUCUUUGAAAGUUU